rnacentral:rRNA from 1 species
UUCCAAACACUCAAAAAGGUUGUUGGAACAAGAUUGGAGGCUAGGGUUUGAAGGUGUUUAUCUUGUGGCAAGACGAAGAGUCAAGAUUGUUUGUGUGCCUUCUUGUUUAAGGGAUGUAUCUCUUUCCCUUUUUAAAUAACUCUAAAUCCAUGUAUUUCACACUUGAAUUAGUAAGUGUACAUGGUGGUUUUGAAUCAAAUGAAAUGGGUUUUGACACCUAAUAAUGCAUGAUGAUGAUUCUUAUUUAUACUUGUGUUGAUACAAGUUAUUGAUGGUAGUUCAACAUAUGGGUCUUGAGUAAUCCUAGUCUUGAUGAUAUCUAUCAUUAAAAUGACCUUGUUAUAAGUAUGCAUAAAAGGUGUUUGUGAAAAUAUCUAUGUGAAUUAUCUAGUCAAUUGUUGAUGAGGUGUUGAACUAGGGCAAUGGCCCAAUGAGUCUGAAUGUUUGAUUAAUGUUGUGAUAAGAGUAUUAUGAUCAAUGUAAUAUGUAAUUGAUGAUGUUGUUAAGCUAAUGUAUAGUAAAAGGGUGAAGUCCCUUAAUAUGAAGAUGAACUUGAAUAGUAUAUUGAACUAAAGUGUGGCAUGAGAAUGCCAUUGAGAUGUACAUGUCUUAUGAAGGUCUUGAGGACCAUAAAAUGAAUUAUGUGAUGAUUUUAAUGAAGGCAUUGGAUUAUUGAAAUGGUUAAGCAAUAAAGGCUCCCAUAAGGACUAUUGGGUCUUGUAUAGUGAUUGAAUUGGCUAAAUGGUUAAAGUACCUAACUCUUGUGUUGAAUGUGCAUUGAUGCAUAGACAAGAGGGUAAAGUUCCAAAUGUCAACUAAUGACGGUGGUGAUGCCUUGAGGUUAAAUUCCCUUGCCUUAUGUAAUGGCUUAAUGUUAAAGGCCCUUGCCCAUUAUAUGACUUGUAGUUAAAGUACCUUGACCAAUUAAAAUGAAAGGUAAAGUCCAUUGCAUAAGAAGAGCUUGUGAGGUCAAAGUGCCUUGCCUCAUGAAGAGGCUUGUGGUAAUGUCCACAUAUAGCAUGCGGUUAGAGUCCCAUUUCUAACAAAUGGGCAUGAGGUUAAAGUCUCUUGUUAAAUGAUGAAGAUGUGUGGGUAAAGUCCCUUGUUGAAUGAUGAAUAUAUGUGGGUAAAGUCCCUUGUUGUAUGAUUAAUAUGUACGGUUAAAGUCCCUUGUUGAAUGCCGAAUAUGUGUGGGUAAAGUCCCUUGUUGAAUGCUGAAUAUGUGUGGGUAAAGUCCAUUGAUUGAAUGAUUGUGAAUAUGGUUAAAGUCCUUGGCUAAUGAAUGUGUGUGCAUGGGUAAAGUCCCUAAUUUAAUGAUAAUGUGAUUGUGGUUGAAGUCCUUAGCAUGAUGAGAAUGAUGAGUCUAUGACUGUGGGAGGUGGUAGUCCUCUACUGCAUGUCUAAUGAAUGAAUACUUGAGAAUAAUGAUAAGUUUCGAUAAGAUAUCUUGAUUAGCAUAUGAUAUAUCAAUAUAUGUGGAUAAGUGUGUGAAUAAGAUGAAAUGCGAUAUAUUGUCUUGUUGUUGAAUGAUGAUGUUAUUUUAUCACUUAUCCUUAAGUUACAUGCUAGAGUUCCAACCGCUAACUGUCUCCAGAUGCUACAUCCUUAUAUGACACGGGGCCCAAAGCAUCUUCUUCUUUACCUGCACAGUGAUUAGUAGAUCGAGAUGAUUCAUGCUUGACUUGAAGCGGUGAGCUUCCUUACUUCAGAAUACGUCACCUCUUGGUCUCUAUAAUUAGACUUAGUCUCUUUAAGACUUGGUUUGGUUAUGGUCGGGGGCUUAUCCUGACAAAUACACUUUUUGACUUCGGUAUUGUAUAGAGGUAUUGUGAACAACUAUGAACUUGGGUGUAGUUAUCGUAAUGAAUAUAAUGAUGACUUAUGUUAUUAUUUAUGAUAUUCUAAUAUGUGGGUUUGUUCCCCUUUGACUCCUAUGGUGUGUUGAGACACUUAGGUUGGGUUAUCAGGGGGACUGUUGGUUCAUGUGAGAUUGAGGUGCCCAUACGACAUGGUCUGAAGUUCGGAUCGUGUCAAGCUCGGUGAAAUAGACAUAUUUGUAAAGAUGUGGAUUACCUGCACCUGGAUAAAAAGACCCUAUGAAGCUUCACUGUUCCCUGGGAUUGGCUUUGGUCCUUUCCUGUGCAGCUUAGGUGGAAGGCAAAGAAGGCCUCUUUCUGUGGGGGUCGAGCCAUCAGUGAUAUACCACUCUGGAAGGGCUAGAAUACUAACCUUAUAUCAAGACCUAUGAGCCAACGGACAAUCUCAGGUCAACAGUUUCUAUGGGGCGUAGGCCUCCCAAAAGGUAAUAUAGGCGUGCAAAGGUUUCCUAGGGUCGAACGAAGAUUAUACCUCGAGUGCAAAGGUAGAAGGAGAUUGACUGCAAGAACCACUCAUCGUUCAGGGACGAAAGUCUACCUUAGUGAUUCAACGGUGCCGAUUUGUCGUUCAACAAAGAAAAGUUACUCUAGGGAUAACAGGCUGAACUUCCCCAAGAGUUCACAAUGAUGGGAAGGUUUGGCACCUCGAUGUCAGCUCUUAGCCACCUGGGACUGAAGUAUGUUCCAAGGGUUGGGAUGUUCGGCCAUUAAAGCAGUACAUGAGCUGGGUUUGGAACGUUGUAAGACAGUUAGGUCCAUAUUCGGUGUGGGUUUUAGAGCAUUGAGAAAACCUUUACCUAGUAUGAGAGGACUGGUAAGGAUGCACCACUGGUGUACCAAUUAUCGUGCCCAUGUUAUACGCUAGGUAGCCAAGUAUGGAGCAGAUAACUGCUGAAAGCAUCUAAGUAGUAAGCCCACCCCAAGAUGAGUGCUCUCCUAUUUUGAAUUCACUAGAGCUUUUGGUAGCACAGUCGAGACGACUACGAGUUCUCUUCCCCUGUGAGGAUAGAGCGACAGAAGUUCAUUUGAGAAUUUAAAAGAAGGUCAUGACGAGAUGAGCCAUUUAUCAUUACGAUAGGUGUCAAGUGUACGUACAGUGAUGAAUACAGAUGAGGCAUCCUAACAGACCGGUAGACUUAAAU